rnacentral:lncRNA from 1 species
GGCUCGAAAAGGCUUCUAAAAGAUAAAGCCGGUCUCAGCCUUGCUAAGUAGAACCGAGAGGGAAAGAUCUGCCGCCCUCUGGGCUUGCGAGGAGCCAGCAGCAUCGCGCCCCCUGCCGGCCAGUGAGGGGGCCGCCCCUCCCCGGAAGAAGAGGGCGGGGCCGCCAGAGAAAGACGCAUCCAACCUGGAUCAGGAUGGGCGCCUCUGGGAGUUUUACUGGAGCAGCUAGUGAAUAAAUUGGCUCCGCGAUUCAGAGAGCAUCAACCUAGGGUGGGAUCAAGGCUGGCCGAUCCCCCACGCCCACACCCCGCAAUGCGCACGCAGCGAAGAUUGCUCAGCUGUGCCUUCCUAAGAACGAAUGGAAGGAGACCAAGGGAGAAGUACAUGAUGAUUCAUCUUGGAGAAAAAUAUUCUUAUAGCAAGAAGAGUUUCCCUGGAUGUUAUGUGUUACUAAGCAGCCCUCUGAAAGACAACAAAAAGAAGUAAAAGAAUGCCUUUAAGGAAGUUACCACCGCCAGAUAACCAGCCCCCAGCUACCAUUGAUGCCCAGAAGUCUGGUUGCCUAAGAGCCUAUCUGGAGGGAAAGAAACAUGGACUUGCCCCUCAUUUCUCUGAAACUCCUCCCCCCAAGCCCCUUAGCUCUAUAAAGACUGCUUGCUUUCUUCUUUCCUUAAGAUGGACUUGAAAGAACCUAUCGUCCCACCUUCUUGUUUGGGCCAAUUUGAAUAAAUCUUUC